rnacentral:rRNA from 1 species
AACGAACGCUGGCGGCAUGCCUAACACAUGCAAGUCGAACGAGACCUUCGGGUCUAGUGGCGCACGGGUGCGUAACGCGUGGGAACCUGCCCUUAGGUUCGGAAUAACUCCCCGAAAGGGGUGCUAAUACCGGAUAAUGUCUUCGGACCAAAGAUUUAUCGUCUUUGGAUGGGCCCGCGUUGGAUUAGCUAGUUGGUAGGGUAAAAGCCUACCAAGGCGACGAUCCAUAGCUGGUCUGAGAGGAUGAUCAGCCACACUGGGACUGAGACACGGCCCAGACUCCUACGGGAGGCAGCAGUGGGGAAUAUUUGACAAGGGGCGAAAGCCUGAUCCAGCAAUGCCGCGUGAGUGAUGAAGGCCUUAGGGUUGUAUAUCUCUUUUACCCGGGAUGAUAAUGACAGUACCGGGAGAAUAAGCUCCGGCUAACUCCGUG